rnacentral:lncRNA from 1 species
UUUCAAUCCAUAUGAUCUGAAACAUUCAAUUUCUCAUUCCUUUAAAACUGCAGACCAGUCAACUCCCCACCACACGUAAAAACAAAAAAGAAUUGGAGCAAAAACAUGCAGAAUACUAAUACUCUUUAACUUUCACUGAAACUAUAAAAAUUAAAUCUUAAUCACAAUAGCGCACCGAAUAUUUUUCUAUCAUAUUUUCUCUCAUGACUGUAUCUAACAUAUUUAGCCCGCAAUCUCAUCAAACGGAGCUUAAUGCGUACAUUUGGAUGAUCGAAUAGAUAGAAUAAGAGAGAAGAAAACAGAAAAAACAUAAGAAGGGGGGGGGGGGGG